AAUACAACUGUCUCCACCCCAAAAUAAAAACUAAGCUUCAAGUGAAGACGCCUGAAUUAGACUAAAGGACAAAAAGACCCUGUUGAGCUUUAUCUACAACAAAUGAUUUAGUUGGGGCGACUAAGGAAAAAUUCAAAAAGACUAAUAGGUCAAAAAGAAAAUAUAGCUACCACAGGGAUAACAGGCUAAUCCUCCUCAAGAGCCCAAAUUGACAGGAGGGCUUGGCACCUCGAUGUUGGCUUAAGGUCCCCUUAGUGCAGCAGCUUAAACGGUUGGUUUGUUCAACCAUUAAAACCUU
rnacentral:rRNA from 1 species